rnacentral:rRNA from 1 species
CCCGCACAAGCGGUGGAUUAUGUGGUUUAAUUCGAUGAUACGCGAGGAACCUUACCAAGGCUUAAAUGGGAAAUGACAGGUUUAGAAAUAGACUUUUCUUCGGACAUUUUUCAAGGUGCUGCAUGGUUGUCGUCAGCUCGUGCCGUGAGGUGUUAGGUUAAGUCCUGCAACGAGCGCAACCCCUGUCACUAGUUGCCAUCAUUAAGUUGGGGACUCUAGUGAGACUGCCUAUGCAAGUAGAGAGGAAGGUGGGGAUGACGUCAAAUCAUCACGGCCCUUACGCCUUGGGCCACACACGUAAUACAAUGGCCGGUACAGAGGGCAGCUACACAGUGAUGUGAUGCAAAUCUCGAAAGCCGGUCUCAGUUCGGAUUGGAGUCUGCAACUCGACUCUAUGAAGCUGGAAUCGCUAGUAAUCGCGCAUCAGCCAUGGCGCGGUGAAUACGUUCCCGGGCCUUGUACACACCGCCCGUCACACCAUGGGAGUGGGUUGCACCAGAAGUAGCUAGUCUAACCUUCGGGGGGACGGUUACCACGGUGUGAUUCAUGACUGGGGUGAAGUCGUAACAAGGUAGCCGUA